rnacentral:pre_miRNA from 13 species
UGUGUCGCAUGUUGAUUGUACUUCAUCAGGUGCUUUGGUCGGUACAGGUUGCCAGGCAUCUGUUGGAGUACAGCUCAUGUGUGGACACA